UUUAUGGAGAGUUUGAUCCUGGCUCAGAGUGAACGCUGGCGGCGUGCCUAAUACAUGCAAGUCGAACGAUGAAAUUUCUAGCUUGCUAGAAAUGGAUUAGUGGCGCACGGGUGAGUAAUGCAUAGGUUAUGUGCCUCUUAGUUUGGGAUAGCCAUUGGAAACGAUGAUUAAUACCAGAUACUCCCUACGGGGGAAAGAUUUAUCGCUAAGAGAUCAGCCUAUGUCCUAUCAGCUUGUUGGUAAGGUAAUGGCUUACCAAGGCUAUGACGGGUAUCCGGCCUGAGAGGGUGAACGGACACACUGGAACUGAGACACGGUCCAGACUCCUACGGGAGGCAGCAGUAGGGAAUAUUGCUCAAUGGGGGAAACCCUGAAGCAGCAACGCCGCGUGGAGGAUGAAGGUUUUAGGAUUGUAAACUCCUUUUGUUAGAGAAGAUAAUGACGGUAUCUGACGAAUAAGCACCGGCUAACUCCGUGCCAGCAGCCGCGGUAAUACGGAGGGUGCAAGCGUUACUCGGAAUCACUGGGCGUAAAGAGCGCGUAGGCGGGAUAGUCAGUCAGGUGUGAAAUCCUAUGGCUUAACCAUAGAACUGCAUUUGAAACUACUAUUCUAGAGUGUGGGAGAGGUAGGUGGAAUUCUUGGUGUAGGGGUAAAAUCCGUAGAGAUCAAGAGGAAUACUCAUUGCGAAGGCGACCUGCUGGAACAUUACUGACGCUGAUUGCGCGAAAGCGUGGGGAGCAAACAGGAUUAGAUACCCUGGUAGUCCACGCCCUAAACGAUGGAUGCUAGUUGUUGGAGGGCUUAGUCUCUCCAGUAAUGCAGCUAACGCAUUAAGCAUCCCGCCUGGGGAGUACGGUCGCAAGAUUAAAACUCAAAGGAAUAGACGGGGACCCGCACAAGCGGUGGAGCAUGUGGUUUAAUUCGAAGAUACACGAAGAACCUUACCUAGGCUUGACAUUGAGAGAAUCCGCUAGAAAUAGUGGAGUGUCUAGCUUGCUAGACCUUGAAAACAGGUGCUGCACGGCUGUCGUCAGCUCGUGUCGUGAGAUGUUGGGUUAAGUCCCGCAACGAGCGCAACCCCCUUUCUUAGUUGCUAACAGGUCAUGCUGAGAACUCUAAGGAUACUGCCUCCGUAAGGAGGAGGAAGGUGGGGACGACGUCAAGUCAUCAUGGCCCUUACGCCUAGGGCUACACACGUGCUACAAUGGGGUGCACAAAGAGAAGCAAUACUGCGAAGUGGAGCCAAUCUUCAAAACACCUCUCAGUUCGGAUUGUAGGCUGCAACUCGCCUGCAUGAAGCUGGAAUCGCUAGUAAUCGCAAAUCAGCCAUGUUGCGGUGAAUACGUUCCCGGGUCUUGUACUCACCGCCCGUCACACCAUGGGAGUUGUGUUUGCCUUAAGUCAGGAUGCUAAACCAGCUACUGCCCACGGCACACACAGCGACUGGGGUGAAGUCGUAACAAGGUAACCGUAGGUGAACCUGCGGUUGGAUCACCUCCUUU
rnacentral:rRNA from 1 species